GCCGGUUUCGCUCCUCCUCCGGUUCGCUCCCACGCCCGCCACCGCCACCACCCGCCCUUCCUCCUCCGCUCUGCUCACACCUGCCGCCGCUACCGCGCGCAUCUCCUUCCUCCAGAUCCAGCCACCAGCAUCCUCUCCUCCCUCCCCAUACACAGGCGAUGGCGGCUCGCGCAGGUGGUGGCAGCGGCUCCGGCAGUGGUGGUGGUGGCUCG
rnacentral:misc_RNA from 1 species